UAGGGAAUAUUGCUUAAUGGGCGAAAGCCUGAAGCAGCAACGCCGCGUGCACGAUGAAGGUCUUCGGAUCGUAAAGUGCUUUUUUAGAGGAUGAGGAAGGACAGUACUCUAAGAAUAAGCCUCGGCUAACUACGUGCCAGCAGCCGCGGUAAAACGUAGGAGGCGAGCGUUAUCCGGACUUACUGGGCGUAAAGCGUGUGCAGGUGGUUUGGUAAGUUGGAUGUGAAAGCUCCUGGCUUAACUGGGAGAGGUCGUUCAAUACUGCCAGACUUGAGAGUGAGAGAGGGAGGUGGAAUUCCGGGUGUAGUGGUGAAAUGCGUAGAUAUCCGGAGGAACACCAGUGGCGAAAGCGGCCUCCUGGCUCAUUUCUGACACUCAUACACGAAAGCUAGGGUAGCAAACGG
rnacentral:rRNA from 1 species